UUCCCUACGGGGGGCAGCAGUGAGGAAUAUUGGUCAAUGGGCGCGAGCCUGAACCAGCCAAGUCGCGUGAGGGAAGACGGUCCUAUGGAUUGUAAACCUCUUUUGUCGGGGAGCAAAAGACGCCACGUGUGGCGUUCCGAGAGUACCCGAAGAAAAAGCAUCGGCUGACUCCGUGCCAGCAGCCGCGGUAAUACGGAGGAUGCGAGCGUUAUCCGGAUUUAUUGGGUUUAAAGGGUGCGCAGGCGGACCAUCAAGUCAGCGGUAAAAUCGUGGGGCCCAACCCCAUCCCGCCGUU
rnacentral:rRNA from 1 species